AGUGAACGCUGGCGGUAGGCCUAACACAUGCAAGUCGAACGGCAGCACAGUAAGAUCUUGCUCUUACGUGUGGCGAGUGGCGGACGGGUGAGGAAUACAUCGAAAUCUACUUUUUCUUGGGGGGUAACGUAGUGAAACAUACGCUAAUACCGCAUACUACCUACGGAUGAAAGCAGGGGAUCUUCAGACCUUGCGCGAUGGAAUGAGCCGAUGUCGGAUCAGCUUGUUGGCGUGGUAAAGGCACACCCAAGCGACGAUCCGUACCUUAUCUGAUCGGAUGAUCAGCUACACUGCAACUGAGCCACGGUACAGACCACACUGGGAGGCAGCAGUGCAGAAUAUUGUACAAGGCGAUCGAGCGUGAUCCAGCCAUACCGCGUGGGUGACGAAGGCAUUCCGGUUUUAAAGCCAUUUUGUUGGGAAAGAAAAACAGAAGGUUAAUACCCCGCUGUUCUGACGGUACCCAACGAAUAAGCACCGGCUAACUCCGUG
rnacentral:rRNA from 1 species